GACGAACGCUGGCGGCGUGCCUAACACAUGCAAGUCGAACGGAAAGGCCCUGCUUUUGUGGGGUUCUCGAGUGGCGAACGGGUGAGUAUCACGCGAGUAUCCUGCCCUUGACUUUGGGAUAACUUCAGGAAACUGGGGCUAAUAUCGGAUAGGAUCUCCUGCUGCAUGUUGGGGGUUGGAAAGUUUCGGCGGUUGGGGAUGGACUCGCGGCUUAUCCGCUUGUUGGUGGGGUAGUGGCUUACCAAGGCUUUGACGGGUAGCCGGCCUGAGAGGGUGGCCGGGCACAUGAGGACUGAGGGAGGGCGCAGAAGCGUACGGGAGGCAGCAGGGGGGAAUAUGGCGCAAUGGGCGGAAGCCAGAGGCAGCAACGCCGCGAGCGGGAUGGCGGCCUUCGGGGUGUAAACCGAUUUCGCCUGUGACGAAGCGUGAGUGACGGUAAUGGGUAAGGAAGCACCGGCUAACUACGUG
rnacentral:rRNA from 1 species